rnacentral:rRNA from 1 species
GAUGAACGCUGGCGGCGUGCCUAAUACAUGCAAGUCGAGCGAAUGGAUUAAGAGCUUGCUCUUAUGAAGUUAGCGGCGGACGGGUGAGUAACACGUGGGUAACCUGCCCAUAAGACUGGGAUUACUCCGGGAAACCGGGGCUAAUACCGGAUAACAUUUUGAACCGCAUGGUUCGAAAUUGAAAGGCGGCUUCGGCUGUCACUUAUGGAUGGACCCGCGUCGCAUUAGCUAGUUGGUGAGUUAACGGCUCACCAAGGCAACGAUGCGUAGCCGACCUGGGAGGGUGAUCGGCCACACUGGGACUGAGACACGGCCCAGGAUCCUACGGGAGGCAGCAGUAGGGAAUCUUCCGCAAUGGACGAAAGUCUGACGGAGCAACGCCGCGUGAGGGAUGAAGGCUUUCGGGUCGUAAAACUCUGUUGUUAGGGAAGAACAAGUGCUAGUUGAAUAAGCUGGCACCUUGACGGUACCUAACCAGAAAGCCACGGCUAACUACGUGCCAGCCGCCGCGGUAA